UUCUCUCCUGCUUAAACCCUGCUGCUCAUUCUGACUUCGCCGGCGAUACCCACCACCACCACACCGACGACCUUCCAUCUGUCGUCGCCAACCACACCAUGAAAAAAUCCUCUCCCGCCUCUUUGCUGGUCGCCACCGACACCGUCCCUGGAUCUGCUGGCCUUGUCAACAUCUCUGACCAUUUUUUAUUUCAAUUUUAGUUGCUCUGGAAUUGUAUAAUUUGGUUUGAAGGUUUGAUAUUU
rnacentral:lncRNA from 1 species